rnacentral:rRNA from 1 species
AUUGAACGCUGGCGGCAGGCCUAACACAUGCAAGUCGAGCGAGCGGCGGACGGGUGAGUAAUGUCUGGGAAACUGCCUGCUGGCGGGGGAUAAAUACUGGAAAAGGUCGCUAAUACCUCAUUCCAUCAGAUGUGCCUAGAUGGUAUGAGCUAGUCGGUGGGGUAACGGCUCACCUAGGCGACGAUCCCUAGCUGGUCUGAGAGGAUGACCAGCAACACUGGAACGGAGACGCGGUCCAGACUCCGAAGGGAGGCAGCAGUGGGGAAUCUUGGACAAUGGGCGGUAGCCUGAUGCAGCCAAGCGGCGUGUGUGAAGAAGGCCUUCGGGGUGUAAAGCACUUUCAGUGGGGAGGCGUUACCCGCAGAAGAAGCACCGGCUAACUCCGUGCCAGCCGCCGCGGUAAUUC